UACGUAGGUGGCAAGCGUUGUCCGGAUUUACUGGGCGUAAAGGGCUCGUAGGCGGCCAACUAAGUCAGACGUGAAAUCCCUCGGCUUAACCGGGGAACUGCGUCUGAUACUGGAUGGCUUGAGGUUGGGAGAGGGAUGCGGAAUUCCAGGUGUAGCGGUGAAAUGCGCAGAUAUCGGGAGGAACACCAAUGGCGAAGGCAGCUUGCUGGGACGGUACUGACGCUGAGGCGCGAAAGCCAGGGGAGCAAACGGG
rnacentral:rRNA from 1 species